UUCCGGUUGAUCCUGCCGGAGGCUACCGCUAUUGGAGUUCGAUUAAGCCAUGCGAGUCGUGAGUCUUAGGGACUCGGCGUACCGCUCAGUAACACGUGGGUAACCUGCCCUAUGCUGGGGAAUAACCUCGGGAAACUGAGAAUAAUGCCCCAUAGUUCACCACACCUGGAACGGUGGGUGGAUGAAAGCUCCGGCGGCAUAGGAUGGGCCUGCGGCGUAUCAGGUUGUAGGGGGUGUAAUGUACCCUCUAGCCAUCUACGCGUACGGGUGUUGAGAGACAUCGCCCGGAGAUGGAUUCUGAGACACGAAUCCAGACCCUACGGGGUGCAGCAGGCGCGAAAACUUGGCAAUGCGAGCAAUCGUGACCAGGGAACUCCAAGUGCAUCGGGUAAGACCGAUGCUUUUCUUGACUCUUCAAAGGUCUUGGAAUAAGGGGUGGGUAAGGACGGUGCCAGCCGCCGCGGUAAUACCGGCGCCUCAAGUGGUAGUCGCUUUUAUUGGGCCUAAAACGUCCGUCGCCUGUUUGGUACAUUCGUGGGUAAAUCAACCAGCUCAACUGGUUGAAUUCUGCGAGGACGGCCAGACUAGGGACCGGGAGAGGUAUGGGGUACUCUCAGGGUAGGGGUAAAAUCCAGUCAUCCUGAGGGGACCACCUGUUGCGAAGGCGCCAUACUAGAACGGAUCCGACGGUCAGGGACGAAGCCUAGGGGCACGAACCGGAUUAGAUACCCGGGUAGUCCUAGGUGUAAACGCUGUGGACUUGGUGUUGGGGAUUCUACGAGUAUCCCCAGUGCCGGAGUGAAGAUGUUAAGUCCACUGCCUGGGGAGUACGGUCGCAAGGCUGAAACUUAAAGGAAUUGGCGGGGGAGCACAGCAACGAGAGGAGCGUGCGGUUUAAUUGGAUUCAACGCCGGG
rnacentral:rRNA from 1 species